GGAUUAGAUACCCUGGUAGUCCACGCUGUAAACGAUGUUCACUCGCUGUCGGCGAUACACAGUCGGCGGCUGAGCGAAAGCAUUAAGUGAACCACCUGGGGAGUACGAUCGCAAGGUUGAAACUCAAAGGAAUUGACGGGGGCCCGCACAAGCGGAGGAACAUGUGGUUUAAUUCGAUGAUACGCGAGGAACCUUACCUGGGCUUAAAUGUAGAUUGCAUAGAGUAGAAAUAUUCUUUCCCUUCGGGGCUAUUUACAAGGUGCUGCAUGGUUGUCGUCAGCUCGUGUUGC
rnacentral:rRNA from 1 species